GGGGAUUUGGCUUAGGGGUAAAGCGUCCGCUUUGCAUGCGGAAGAUCGUGGGUUCGAUUCCCACAGUCUCCA